rnacentral:rRNA from 1 species
CACGUAGUUAGCCGGAGCUUAUUCUACAGGUACUGUCUUUUUUCUUCCCUGUCUAAAGCAGUUUACAAUCCGAAAACCUUCUUCCUGCACGCGGCGUCACUGCGUCAGAGUUUCCUCCAUUGCGCAAUAUUCCCGACUGCUGCCUCCCGUAGGAGUCUGGGCCGUAUCUCAGUCCCAAUGUGGCCGUUCAACCUCUCAGUUCGGCUACUGAUCGUUGACUUGGUAGGCCGUUACCCCACCAACUAUCUAAUCAGACGCAAGCCCAUCUAUCAGCGGAUUGCUCCUUUCCCUAUUGUAUCAUGUGAUACUUAGGUAUAUGCGGUAUUAGCAGUCAUUUCUAACUGUUGUUCCCCUCUGAUAGGCAGGUUGCUUACGUGUUACUCACCAGUCCGCCACUAACCGCUCCAAUAGUAAACUAAUGGUUAAGUCCGUUCGACUUGCAUGUCUUAUGUGCGCCGCCAGCGUUUAUCCUGAGCCAGGAUCAAACUC